AAAUCCSUCGACUUUAGAAAUCGUGAGGGUUCAAGUCCCUCUAUCGGCA
rnacentral:tRNA from 1 species